rnacentral:pre_miRNA from 1 species
UUGUUCAUGGAAGCUUCCUUAAGUAGUAUCCAUUAAAGGGUUGUUCUCAACAUGCAAAUCAACCGUUUGAUGUACUACUUUAGGAAUCUACAGUCAAA